AAAACAUAGGAGUACCAAAGAAAAAUCAAAACAAAAAAUAAAACUCCCUAUCGUUGUUCUUCCUCUUGUGUUUUUUCUACUGCCAUUGUUAGAGCUUCUCUUAUAGUUUUUCUACUGUUCUUCAUCCCAAAACACGAAUUUGCUAAUUUACAUGAUGAUUUUCUGCUGCUCGUCUCUCUCCUCUUAUUUCUGGUGUCUCUGCUCAUCUCUCCUCUCUUCUCUUACAUCUUCGCGGCCUUGCAUUACUGUUCCUGCUAGUUCUCCUUCUCUAACGAGCGAAAUUAUAUGCUUGCUCUUUCUACCAAGGAAAGGAUGCAUAAUUUGGGGGCUUAGCUGAAGAAGAUGAUAGCAGCUAGUAGCAGAGUUCAUCAGAAGAGAGAAGCACAGCGUUAUUAUUUUGGUGAGUUGGGAUUAUUUUGAAAGAGGAGCGUUUUUAAGAUUUGAAGAAUCAAAGUUUUCCCCAGAAAAUCGAAUUCCAGAGGGUGAGCACAUAUUGAGAAUCAUCAUCUAUCAUCAUCAUCUACGGCGGCGGUGGCGGCCAGGUAGGAAGUAGGAAGGAUGGGAAAGAAAAAGGUGAGAAGAAGAGGAUGCAAAAAGGGGAAAAAAAAUAUUGGUGCAGGCGGCAUUUGGGCACGCUAGUGAAUUUUACACUAUAGAGUUGGAGACGGAAAAGGUGACGAAAUUGCCAAUUGGGGGGUUAGGCAAGGAGGCAAUUUUGACCUCCUUGGUGACUUUGCAUUUUGUGAUCUACGUCAUCGGCCUUGAUCGAUCAAAUCUUCCGGAAGAACCAUAUAUUCACCGCGGCGUAUCAUACGUAGAUUUGAGUUUGAGUGAGCAAGGAGAUAGAAAAACCGAUGCAGAUGCAGAAGAAGAAAGGUCUUUUGAAUGGAAGGCAGCUCCUCCUAGUCUUGUGAAUCGUCCUCGCAUUUGGUGGCCUCGCGGCGUUGCCAUGUGUGGGAAGAUCUAUGUGUUUACUGGUAAAGUACAAAAAGUGGAGGUGUUUGAUCCGAAGCUGAAUCAAUGGAGUCUCCUCUCUCCCCCUCGUGGUUUUAAAGAUUUUUCUAAACUUCAAAGGCCAACCCUCGCUGAUCACUCCAACAACCGCCUCCUUGUUUCUCUCCGAGAAGGAGACGCCACCUCCUCCUCCUCGCAGCUACUCUACGCUUACUACCCACAUCGCGGCUGGAAACUUCUGCUCCCUGACUUUUACACCUCCUCCUCCUGUAUUCGGGUCGUUCAAUCGGGGGUCGUCUUCUGCUACUCUCCUGUCGAAGGAAACCAUCACAUAUUUGAUGCCUUUGAUGUCGACUCGAAACAAUCCAGGAAGUUGAACAUUACCUACACCUCCAACGUUGACUCCGAUCUCUGGUGCUUUGACUUUGAUGAGUUGCUUAAUCUCGGCAAAGGAAUCUUGUGCUUGGUUGGUUCUGGCUGUAACUUCUCUUGCGAUCAGACCUUUAUCUUCGCCAUCCAAUUCAAAGUCAAACGCACCACUCCGACUGACCUUCUCAUCACUCCAUUCCCUGGCAAAUUCAUUUCUCUACAAGAGUAUUGCUAUCCUCUUCACUAUUCUACUUUUUAGGUAAUUUACUAAUUUUAUUUGUGUCAAGUUGUCAUCUUUAUUUGUAUUUUUUGGAGUUUUAGCUGAUGAUCAUAUAUGUUGCUGAAUAUUUCUGUCUGUGCUUGGCUGAUGUUUGUUUAUGAACUAGUUAGUACCGCGGGCGAUGCCCCGGAUAGUAGAAAAAUGAAUUAAUUAGAUUAUUAUAUAACUCGUUUUGAGUCUAAUUUAAUUUGUUACAUUAUAAUAUAUCUUGCUUAUAAUUUAAUGAAUUUUUACAUGUAAGAAUUACUAACUCGUAAAAGUAAUGACUAAUUAGUGAUAUGAUCGAGACUAUUAAUAAAUGAUUCAUAUCAUUUUUCUCAUUAUAUGGACUUAAUAUAAUUGUGCACGUACAAAAAACAACAAAAUAAAUUGUGGUGUAGUGGUUAAAAUAUGUGACUAACAAAUGAGAGGUCACAGGUUCAAAACCUUAUAACAACAUUUUUUCAUGAUCAAGAAAAUAAUAUGAGAUGCAUGACAUGUCAAAGAUGACGAUGCGUCAUGUCAUCGAUAAUAGGAAGCGACAUGUGGCGAAAUGACAUUCCUUGCCUUGGAGUUUUAAUAAUAGUAUAGAUAUGAUGCUACAUUUUUCAAAAAAAAAACAGGACAGGACAAUAAGUUGAAGAUUCAACCAUUGUUGGUAGGGCUUGGGUUUAGUGUGUGAGGAAGAGAGUAUUAAUUGAAGGAGUAUUUCUUGAUCAUUUUAUACUGUAAAACUUACCAUAUAUGUGUUACCAAUUGUGUGAAUGAAGGGAUCAUAUCAUAUCAUAUCAUAAGAAGCCUAUUGCUGAAAUACAAAGUAUCUAAGUAAUUACACAUAAGUAAGUUUGGUUACAUAAUCAGACCUAGUAGUAGUAUUACAUUCUUGGAAUGCACUUGGUAAUUCUCAAAUCGAGUUGUAAGAUUUUAAUGAAAGUCUUUAAUCACUCGACACUCGUUUGUCUCAAUCUCUCAUGAUUAUUGGAAAAUUCAGUCUGACUUUAUGACCUUACAAGUUACCAGAUCGAAUUGCAUGUUUUUUGUCAUAUUCUUGCUAAUGGUCAGUGUUAAUUUUGAAUCCUCAACUCUGUAUUGUGUUUUUUUGCUAAGUUUGAUAUUCAGUAUCAACAUUCCUUAAUUAUUUUAUUUAUGUGCUUCACUUACCUUCAUCCGGAAAUAGUAGUUAUGUAUAUUAUUUUGCCCUGUUCUGUUCACCUUAUUUCCACUUAUUUCAGGAAAAAUAAGUUCAGAAGUUCAGUUAAGUUCAGAUAAGAUAAUUUCAGGAAAAAUAAGGGUUGACCAAGUACAAUUUAUAACUAAAAUAAGUUCUAAUAAGUUAAGUUAAGUUCAGAUAAGAUAAGUUCAGAAGAAAUAAGUGGAAAUCAGGUGAAUAGAACGCAAUUUCCAUGUGCUUCAAUAUGGCUUUGGUGAGUGACUGAGUGGUGGGUGGGUAUGGAUAAUGAAAACUAAAAUCCGCCAUGGGUAGUUGGAUAGGUGGUGUAUUUUUAGACGAACCCGACCCAUAUCCAUCCGCCCCGUCCCAUAGCCACCGACAUCCAUCUGCCCUUCUCCAUAUCCUCCCACACUCCCACCCCCACCCCUCUUUAGUACCCACCUAUUUUUUUAAAAUUUAAAUUUUCCACUUAGGUUUUCAAGUUUGUACAUUAUACUACAUGAUGGGCCUUUACUAUGGGACUAAUUAGGUAAAUACAAAUUUUUAUGUAAGACGGUCUUGGUGUCAUUUAAGUUAAGCAAUGAAAUCAAUUAGUUAAGCACCGAAACUAAUUAGUUAAACACCGAAACUAAUUAGUUAAGCACCGGAAACAAUUAGUUAAACACUUAAACUAAUUAGUUAAGCAAUGAAACCAAUUAGUUAAGCAAUCAAAGUGGUCUUUCCGGUAAGGCGGUCUUACACAAAAGUUUCCGUUAAGUAAAACUCUAAUGUUUUCACAUGUUGUGGUAUUUUUACAAUUACAAAAAUUUUUGCGGAAGUUGAUGUGGAGGAGGGAAUGGAUAGAGGAUUAUCCAAUUGGACAAUGGGUGGAUGUAGGUGGGUAAUGGAUAUCCACGUGGGCGGUGAAGUGGGUGUAGAUUUCAGGUUAUAGCUACGUCGGUGGGGAUGGAUUUGGAAUAUGUAUCCGCCAUGGGUGGUGGGUAGGUGGUCGGUAUGAGAAAUUUAGGCGGAGGUGGAUGUGGAGGAGGGGGUAUAUGCACUCGCCCCACCCCAUUGUCAUCUCUAGUGGUUUCCUCUUGAUGAUUGUUGUAAGCUAUGUUACUCGGACUCUUUGUUUUACCUCAAGUACCCGUGUCGGAUCCUCGACACUUGGACACUCCGACACUUCAUUUUGGUCUUAAAUUAAGGAAAAUUUCCACAAUUUAGCCAUGUCGGACAUUUGGACACGUACCUGUAUCCGACACUCGUACCCGAGUCUGAGUAACAUAGGUUGAAAGAUUAUUGAUAUGUAGACAAAAACUAUGUGUAACUAAAGAGAUUGAUAUUCUAUUUUAUUAAUUGAUUUUAUAUACUUUAUGAGGAGAUGACUAUCUUAUGUGAUUACGAGCUUAAAUUUUUAGUAACUUUCUGCCAAAACUUGUUUUACAGCUGAAGUUUGCGUUUGUGUGGUCAGAGAGGAUGGGCUGAAGUAUGAAUGUAAUUUGCUGAAUUAUGUUACUAAACUACCUUGACUCAAAUUAUGUUACUGAAUUAUGUUACUAUUUAUUAUUUGCUGAAUUAUGUUUGGAUUAUCUUAUGUACUCGUGUUUUAUAAAUUGUCUGUACUCUUGAUAAUUUAUUUCCUUGUCAUUUAAUCAUAUGGACUUUAUUAUCUGGUUGAAGGACAUGUAAAUGAUGCAAUGUUUUGGCCACAACACUUCAUGUUUUAUGUUUAUGGCUAGGUUGGCUAACAAAUUUGGUUGACGAGCGAUUUCCUAUGUCGAUUCAUGUUAGCGUAAGGCUUUGUUGAAUUGUUGUUAAGGUUGACAGUAAUCAUGUUUUUAAUCCUAGCACUUCUAAAGUCUCAUACUUUAGUUACUAUUCACACAAUAGUUAAAUGUCUGUUAUAACCUCAAAAUCUUUCAUAUGUUUUUUUGUCAUUUUCCUUAUCAAUAGAGUGAUUACGUUUUUAGCCCCCGGACUCCCUACGCUGCCGCUGUUCUUCGCCUCUCUGGACCCGGGUUAGGUUUCACUUUCUUGCUACCUUUCCUCUCCUCUCAAAUGGCUCUGGUACUUCUCCUCCCCUCUCCUACUUCUCUUCUUCAAUUUGUCCUACUAAUUUCUCUUCUUUGAUAACCUGUUUUUUAGGAAAUCUCCCAUUGCGUUUGUUUUGAAGGGCUCCAUUUAACCCCGAUCUGACAGCUCUCCAUCGCCGGUUUUAGCAACUCUCGCUCUCUCCUCUUUUUCCAAAGUUUCAAUAUUUUCAGUUUCUAUUUGAUUAAUGCCAUUUCUAACUAUGGGUUUACCAAAAAAUGAAAAAUUUAGGUAUAUACCAGUUGAAGGUUCAUCUGCUAUUUCCAAAGACGAUAGCUGCAACUCUUGCAAGUCGAAGAAUUGGAUAGCGCCAUAGCGGUUCAUCAGGCGAUAAUGGAGAUUAAAGAUGUUCCUCCAGUCAAGGUGGACAUACAGCUGGUGAUGCAGGUAUAUAUAUGGGCAAUUAUAUUCUAUGGAGUUCUCUUACGAAGUGCUUGCAAAAGCGGCAGAUGAUUUCAACAGCAGCUAUAGGAUUGCUACAGAAAGAGGAGCGUUUUUAAGAUUUGAAGAAUCAAAGUUUUCCCCAGAAAAUCGAAUUCCAGAGGGUGAGCACAUAUUGAGAAUCAUCAUCUAUCAUCAUCAUCUACGGCGGCGGUGGCGGCCAGGUAGGAAGUAGGAAGGAUGGGAAAGAAAAAGGUGAGAAGAAGAGGAUGCAAAAAGGGGAAAAAAAAUAUUGGUGCAGGCGGCAUUUGGGCACGCUAGUGAAUUUUACACUAUAGAGUUGGAGACGGAAAAGGUGACGAAAUUGCCAAUUGGGGGGUUAGGCAAGGAGGCAAUUUUGACCUCCUUGGUGACUUUGCAUUUUGUGAUCUACGUCAUCGGCCUUGAUCGAUCAAAUCUUCCGGAAGAACCAUAUAUUCACCGCGGCGUAUCAUACGUAGAUUUGAGUUUGAGUGAGCAAGGAGAUAGAAAAACCGAUGCAGAUGCAGAAGAAGAAAGGUCUUUUGAAUGGAAGGCAGCUCCUCCUAGUCUUGUGAAUCGUCCUCGCAUUUGGUGGCCUCGCGGCGUUGCCAUGUGUGGGAAGAUCUAUGUGUUUACUGGUAAAGUACAAAAAGUGGAGGUGUUUGAUCCGAAGCUGAAUCAAUGGAGUCUCCUCUCUCCCCCUCGUGGUUUUAAAGAUUUUUCUAAACUUCAAAGGCCAACCCUCGCUGAUCACUCCAACAACCGCCUCCUUGUUUCUCUCCGAGAAGGAGACGCCACCUCCUCCUCCUCGCAGCUACUCUACGCUUACUACCCACAUCGCGGCUGGAAACUUCUGCUCCCUGACUUUUACACCUCCUCCUCCUGUAUUCGGGUCGUUCAAUCGGGGGUCGUCUUCUGCUACUCUCCUGUCGAAGGAAACCAUCACAUAUUUGAUGCCUUUGAUGUCGACUCGAAACAAUCCAGGAAGUUGAACAUUACCUACACCUCCAACGUUGACUCCGAUCUCUGGUGCUUUGACUUUGAUGAGUUGCUUAAUCUCGGCAAAGGAAUCUUGUGCUUGGUUGGUUCUGGCUGUAACUUCUCUUGCGAUCAGACCUUUAUCUUCGCCAUCCAAUUCAAAGUCAAACGCACCACUCCGACUGACCUUCUCAUCACUCCAUUCCCUGGCAAAUUCAUUUCUCUACAAGAGUAUUGCUAUCCUCUUCACUAUUCUACUUUUUAGCUGAAGUUUGCGUUUGCUGUGGUCAGAGAGGAUGGGCUGAAGUAUGAAUGUAAUUUGCUGAAUUAUGUUACUAAACUACCUUGACUCAAAUUAUGUUACUGAAUUAUGUUACUAUUUAUUAUUUGCUGAAUUAUGUUUGGAUUAUCUUAUGUACUCGUGUUUUAUAAAUUGUCUGUACUCUUGAUAAUUUAUUUCCUUGUCAUUUAAUCAUAUGGACUUUAUUAUCUGGUUGAAGGACAUGUAAAUGAUGCAAUGUUUUGGCCACAACACUUCAUGUUUUAUGUUUAUGGCUAGGUUGGCUAACAAAUUUGGUUGACGAGCGAUUUCCUAUGUCGAUUCAUGUUAGCGUAAGGCUUUGUUGAAUUGUUGUUAAGGUUGACAGUAAUCAUGUUUUUAAUCCUAGCACUUCUAAAGUCUCAUACUUUAGUUACUAUUCACACAAUAGUUAAAUGUCUGUUAUAACCUCAAAAUCUUUCAUAUGUUUUUUUGUCAUUUUCCUUAUCAAUAGAGUGAUUACGUUUUUAGCCCCCGGACUCCCUACGCUGCCGCUGUUCUUCGCCUCUCUGGACCCGGGUUAGGUUUCACUUUCUUGCUACCUUUCCUCUCCUCUCAAAUGGCUCUGGUACUUCUCCUCCCCUCUCCUACUUCUCUUCUUCAAUUUGUCCUACUAAUUUCUCUUCUUUGAUAACCUGUUUUUUAGGAAAUCUCCCAUUGCGUUUGUUUUGAAGGGCUCCAUUUAACCCCGAUCUGACAGCUCUCCAUCGCCGGUUUUAGCAACUCUCGCUCUCUCCUCUUUUUCCAAAGUUUCAAUAUUUUCAGUUUCUAUUUGAUUAAUGCCAUUUCUAACUAUGGGUUUACCAAAAAAUGAAAAAUUUAGGUAUAUACCAGUUGAAGGUUCAUCUGCUAUUUCCAAAGACGAUAGCUGCAACUCUUGCAAGUCGAAGAAUUGGAUAGCGCCAUAGCGGUUCAUCAGGCGAUAAUGGAGAUUAAAGAUGUUCCUCCAGUCAAGGUGGACAUACAGCUGGUGAUGCAGGUAUAUAUAUGGGCAAUUAUAUUCUAUGGAGUUCUCUUACGAAGUGCUUGCAAAAGCGGCAGAUGAUUUCAAAAGCGGCAAGAUGAUCAUAAGGCUGAUGAAGUGAAUUGCCUGCAUGGCCUGCUAGAUUGACUUCUUCGUCUCCCCGACUUGCUGAUUUUGGCUAUUCAAAUUAUAUGUUUGAAAAAGAUAUGUUAUGUGAAACAACCCUAUCUCACCUUGCUUCAUAAUUGUUACUCAUUACUUGACAUAAGACAGUGAUUGGGAGCAAACUGAAUAACAAUUAUUUAUUCCUGUGUAAUGAAUGUUGUUCCAGAAGAUGGACCAAACGCACUUAAGGUGGUAUAUGAUCGUGGUCUUAUUGGUGAGGCUCACAACUGGUAAGCAAGUUUGUUAAUGUUUAACUUGAAAUGCUGCUGGGGAUGGCUUUAUGAUCUUAUAAAAUUAGCUAGGCAUAGUAAGCUGGAAGCAGACCAUUUGCAGAAUACUUGCUGCUUUGCGAUAAAGCAGUUAUUCAUUAUCUGGAUGCAGGUCACAAAGAAUGAUUUGUGGUCUCUUGUUCCAGAGGAAACUACCACUUGGUUGGGGAGAGAGAGAGAUAGAGGUGGUAAAGAUUGCCCGUAUGGCUAUCUUUCUUUUUUAAUAUCUGUUGCCUACUUGGCAAUCUUGUGACUGAAAAAGGAUUUCCGUCAAUUCGUGAUUGUAGUUGUUUCACUUGUGUAGACCCUUUACCAUAUGUUCAUUGUUAGAAGUGGCUAUAACUUUAGUUGUUUCACUUGUACAGACCCUUUACCAUAUGUUCAUUGUUAUGCUGAUCCAAAAACCGCAUUCAGGCUUCUAUAGAGCACUCUAAAGUUUUUCAUUAAUCCAAAAACCGCAUCCAAAAUUUAUGUAUGAAGAAUUUACAGCUUUCUUUAGUCAACUUCUUUCCUUAUAUAAGAUUAAUAUAUUGAUUGUAUAGACGGGAAUCUAUUUUCGUAGCUACGUUCUUGGAGAUGAGGCGCCUGCCCUUAAUUAGUUCUGACAAAAACACUUGUUGAAUUCAUGGUGAAGAGGUAACUGCUUCUUUCUUGAUGAGUCGGUCUCUCCCAUAUUUGCCAAGUUUAUCUUUUGUAUCAAUAUAACUCAAGCAUACUAUGACAUAUAAUCAACGACAAUCAUUCAUGAAUUAAUCGUUUGUUUUCUCUAGAAAAGGGUGUUUGACUUCCUUAAUAUUUAAAGUUGUAUUGGAAAAUCAAUUGUUUGUUUUCAUGUUAUGAUGGAAUAUGAGGUUCUGGGCUUCAAAUUUUAUUUAUUUGUAAGCAGUUAUAUUUCAUUGCUUCCUUAUGACACUUUUGCAAACAUCUAAUAUAGCCAUUAAUAAGAGAUGCAGGGAGAUUGGUUCGUAGCAUUUGUUUGGUAUCCGAGAGUCAUCAAUAUAGUCAUACUAGAACCCCUAACGUUCUUUUGUGCAUUUUAAUGUUUCUCAAACGUUCAGAAUUGAUCCAUAUUUUCGCAGCCUGAUUUUGUAUCCGUUUGUGUUUCCCUUUCUGAUCUAUAUAUACAAGCAAGCUAGGUGAUUAAUUCAUCCAAUUAAGCGAUUUAGCAUGAAAAUUAUUGUUUUCAUCUUUGAUAAGAUGUGUGAUUUAUAUCACUGUAAUGUCUUCAGAACAGGUGAAAGUUCUUGCUCUGACCGAUCACAGUGUUUGGUAUCCCUGAGGCUGUAGAUUUGGUAUUAAGAUUAUUCCAGGUAUUGAGAUCAAUACUAUUUUCUCUACAAGGCAAGUACUUGCUAAUAAUAAAUGCUAGCUGGAAAUCUUGUAAUAAUUUUUCAACAUUGUUAUGAUUAAGAAACUACUGUUGCAGUCAUCCCUUGGAAUGAAUAGCGUAGUACGGAGUAUACUAUCUAUGUUAAUUACAUUGCUAUUUAAAAGAACACGUAUUUAAGUAAAAAUGGUAGGCGUAUAACCUUAUGACACAACAACAUUGAUUUGGUUAAUUGCAAAUUCGAUCACAAAGUUAAAGGGGCAUACAGAUUUGAUUUCAUGUGGUGAGUUCUCUCCGUUCAUCCGUUGUGCAAGAAAACAGGAGCAUCUUCUGUACAAACCAACUUUUGUUGCCUGUCAGGUUAAUCAAUUUCAAUUUAUUCCUUUCGUUGUAGCAGUACAAAUGUUAAACAUCAUUGCACUUUCAUUUAUACACCUUACAAUUCUUUGCAUAUUCAUUCCAAUUUAAUGUCAUGCAUUCUUGAUAGGUGUUUAGGUGCAUAAGUCCACAAAAUGCUAAGUACCACGACAUGUAUUCAUUGUCUGGUGUUUAUGCUCUGCUGAUAUAAAAAAUAUGUAGGUUAUGAUAAUUAUGUUAAAUAUGUUUCUGUUUUAAACCAAGGUAACAAGUUCCAAAGGCAAUACUCAUUUAUUUUGACUGUCACCCUGCCCCGACUCCCCCUUUCUGAAAGAGCCAUUAUAUGUUUUUUACUGUAUCUAUGUUGAAACUUUUUGGUUGAUGAUAUCUUUUAUCAUUCGUUUAAUUGUUGAAAUAGUUAUUGUAAGCGUAUAGUUUUAAGAAACGUUAGGUUUACUUUUGUAAUUUUGAGUGGUUAUUGAGGUUGAGAUUCAAGUUCUAUUAUUUUUGAAUUUUGAAAUAUUAUUUUGCUAUCUGAGAUCUUCGUGUUAUUUCUCUACUAAAUUACACCAAUUAAUUUGAGUUCAUACAUUUUAUUUAGGCUUUCUAUGAAGAAAGGUGCCUCCGCUAAGAAGGGAAAAUCCAGCAAAGGAGCCUAACAAGCCAAAGAGGCCCUCAAGUGUCGUCUUUGUCUUCAUCUAUAACUCCAAUUCUUGUCAAUGUUUUAGCUUUUUUUUGCCGGCCAAUUAUUGAAAAUAUGCAGGUAUAACUUUGAUUUGUUGUUGAUAAGUUAUAGGAAGGAGUUUAUAGUGACAUACAAGAACUCUGAAUCUUACUCCGUACGGUACAAUUUGGAAAUAUACCAUUUUCACCCACGAUUGCUGGAAAUUCUCAACUAAUCUUUGCUUUAUCAGUUUGAGAUGAUGAUUAUAUGUUACAUGCUGGGAUAGUAAUAGUUACAUCAUGGGUGGUAUUGUGGUUACACUUUUUGCUUCUUGAUUUUACUCAAAUUUGAGUACUUAUGGAUAAAAUAAUGUGAUUAACCUUGUGUUACAUGAAUAGGGUACAAGUGUACAACCCCGACUUUGAUUAAGGUUGCAGGUGCCAUGGUCUGUUAGAAAAUGGAGUCUCUCUGACAAUGACCGUGUUUUGAAGACUAUGGAAGAGCAAUGGAUCUCUUGGUCUUUAGUUUGAGUGAGGGUGUGAGUUUUAUAGCUGGGUUGUUAGACAAUGUGAACUUGAAUAGCUACAAUUCUAAUGUGUGUGAACCAACAUAAUUCUUGUAUAAUUUGGUAAUCUGUGAUUAUAGUAAUGAUCUUUUGAAGCCUUGGAUAGCUAUAUAGGGUAGCAGAAACUAUAUUGCCUUCUCCAGUCUGAUACUUAGGAUCAUACUAUGAGCAUCAAGUAAAAGCUAAUAUUCUAAAUCAUUUUUGUUCA